ACGCAUGUUGCGGGAGAGAGCGGCCUGUACGUCCGGCCGCCGCCGAAGGCGCAAUUCGCCCGGAAUCGCUCAGGUAACCCAUACCGCCCAUGCUUG
rnacentral:ncRNA from 2 species